CCCAUGAAAAAGCAAGAAGGGUGGGGUAGAGAAGGGGUAAGAGGGGGAUAGGGGGAAGAGAGAAGCAACGAGAGAAAAUGAGGGGAUGGGGGGAGCUAGUGGGGUGGCUGCCAUUAACCUGUGUGCAUAGUAUUACCAUACAGUAUGUCCUGUGUACAACUGCGAACGAAGGAUAGGCUUUUAGUAGAGGAAAAGCAGCAGCUCCACACGUUCCUGUCUGAAGGAUGGUCCAGAAACCCCAGACGUCUCGUCGCCUUCUCAUUUCCACCUCUGAGAGAACUAGAGAAGAUCAUUUCAUGUUGACGGACUUAGGGGGAAAUGUGCAAAUGUUUAUGGAGACUGAGUCCCUGUUCCAUGAUUUAAAUCCCACUACUGAUUACUGAUUGGCAGGGAUGCUUUCACUGGCUCUGUUUCUGACCUGGGCCAGUUCACCGGGACCUAAGGAGCCUGGUCUUCCAUCUCCACCCAGCCCCCAUCAUAUUAAAUACCCAACUAAAUGCAGAUACUUGAUCAGCAUAACCCAAUGUGGCGCUGAAACUCCUGAGCUCAAGAGAUCCUCCAACUGUCAACAUCGGGUAGCUGGCAUUAUAGGAGCAGAAAAAUAAAAAGACAAAUGUGGAUUCAAGUGGAUGCAGAAAGAUGGUCCCUGGAAGGAGGAAGAGUCCUCAAGAAGAAUCAGAGAGGACCUCAGGCUAUGGACUCAAGAAAGGACUUCUAAUAAACAGGAGUUGGUGUCCAUGGCGCAAAGGGAAGUUGUAAUCUAACGACAACGAGCUGACAAAGCUAUGUAGGUUUUAGGAAUUUCGAAGGCGCUCGACCUCUUAGCAAGGGACAUAAAUGAAAAGAUUCUUAUGAGAUACCAGAUUUGGGAUAAAGGAAUAUGUUGACCCUAGACACUUGUGAAAUAGGAAAAGACCACUGGAUUUGGAGUUAGAAGACCUGGAUGGAGAAACUGAGGACCAGAGAGUAGAAGUGACCUGCCUACAAUCAGGAAGGAAGUUAAGAGGCGAGCUGAGAUAUGACCCUUGGUCUUCUGAUGCAGUGACCUUUCCACUCUCCCACAAUGCUUCUCAACAAGAAAAAGUAUAACCAGAAGUGAACACGGGCUGGUUAUAUAGUAAGAAUAAGGAAUAAUAGAUGGACAGGCUGAAUGCAGACCCAGACAGUGGCUUCCAGCAAGUUGCCUUGGUUCUCUAUGGAGAACUUACUGAGGACUGUGGACAAGAAUCACACAGAAUGAGAUCAUCAUAUGACAUGGACUCAGGGCCCUUCACCAUUAAGCAACUACAUACUGUGCUUUCUUUCUUCCAGAAGAAUGCAACAGAAGAGUGCUAGUUCUGAAAUCUUAUAAGGGCAAGAUUACCUUGAAACACUGACACGACAUUCUUGCAAGACAUGUGAAUAUGAAGACCUUCAUUUUGACACUGCUGCUAACCACAUCCAGAGGCUUCGGGAAUUCUAUUUUGCUACCCACCACCCACUCCCUGCAAAUCAAUCAACCUUUAUCCUGCACCAAAUAUAUACAUAUUGUUUCCUCUACCUAGAUGUAAGCUCCCUGAGGGCAAGAACUGUUUUUACUCUUGUUUUACUCUUGCACUGGAUGGCUCAAGAGGCAAUGGAUUUGACCUCCCUGAAGUUCUUUAAACAAAGACUAGAUGUCCACUCGGAGUCAUCUGCGCCCAGCGGCAGACAAAAGUCAGAAUGACU